rnacentral:rRNA from 1 species
GCGGCGUGCUUAACACAUGCAAGUCGAACGGAAAGGCCCUGCUUUUGUGGGGUGCUCGAGUGGCGAACGGGUGAGUAACACGUGAGUAACCUGCCCUUGACUUUGGGAUAACUUCAGGAAACUGGGGCUAAUACCGGAUAGGAGCUCCUGCUGCAUGGUGGGGGUUGGAAAGUUUCGGCGGUUGGGGAUGGACUCGCGGCUUAUCAGCUUGUUGGUGGGGUAGUGGCUUACCAAGGCUUUGACGGGUAGCCGGCCUGAGAGGGUGACCGGCCACAUUGGGACUGAGAUACGGCCCAGACUCCUACGGGAGGCAGCAGUGGGGAAUAUUGCACAAUGGGCGGAAGCCUGAUGCAGCAACGCCGCGUGCGGGAUGACGGCCUUCGGGUUGUAAACCGCUUUCGCCUGUGACGAAGCGUGAGUGACGGUAAUGGGUAAAGAAGCACCGGCUAACUACGUGCCAGCAGCCGCGGUGAUACGUAGGGUGCGAGCGUUGUCCGGAUUUAUUGGGCGUAAAGGGCUCGUAGGUGGUUGAUCGCGUCGGAAGUGUAAUCUUGGGGCUUAACCCUGAGCGUGCUUUCGAUACGGGUGACUGAGGGGAAGGUAGGGGAGAAUGGAAUUCCUGGUGGAGCGGUGGAAUGCGCAGAUAUCAGGAGGAACACCAGUGGCGAAGGCGGUUCUCUGGGCCUUUCCUGACGCUGAGGAGCGAAAGCGUGGGGAGCGAACAGGCUUAGAUACCCUGGUAGUCCACGCUGUAAACGGUGGGUACUAGGUGUGGGGUCCAUUCCACGGGUUCCGUGCCGUAGCUAACGCUUUAAGUACCCCGCCUGGGGAGUACGGCCGCAAGGCUAAAACUCAAAGGAAUUGACGGGGCCCCGCACAAGCGGCGGAGCAUGCGGAUUAAUUCGAUGCAACGCGUAGAACCUUACCUGGGUUUGACAUGGAUCGGGAGUGCUCAGAGAUGGGUGUGCCUCUUUUGGGGUCGGUUCACAGGUGGUGCAUGGCUGUCGUCAGCUCGUGUCGUGAGAUGUUGGGUUAAGUCCCGCAACGAGCGCAACCCUUGUUCACUGUUGCCAGCACGUUAUGGUGGGGACUCAGUGGAGACCGCCGGGGUCAACUCGGAGGAAGGUGGGGAUGACGUCAAGUCAUCAUGCCCCUUAUGUCCAGGGCUUCACGCAUGCUACAAUGGCUGGUACAGAGAGUGGCGAGCCUGUGAGGGUGAGCGAAUCUCGGAAAGCCGGUCUCAGUUCGGAUUGGGGUCUGCAACUCGACCUCAUGAAGUCGGAGUCGCUAGUAAUCGCAGAUCAGCAACGCUGCGGUGAAUACGUUCCCGGGGCUUGUACACACCGCCCGUCAAGUCAUGAAAGUUGGUAACACCCGAAGCCGGUGGCCUAACCGUUGUGGGGGAGCCGUCGAAGGUGGGACUGGUGAUUAGG